rnacentral:rRNA from 1 species
CUACGUGCCAGCAGCCGCGGUAAUACGGAAGGUCCAGGCGUUAUCCGGAUUUAUUGGGUUUAAAGGGAGCGUAGGCCGUGGAUUAAGCGUGUUGUGAAAUGUAGACGCUCAACGUCUGAAUUGCAGCGCGAACUGGUUCACUUGAGUAUGCACAACGUAGGCGGAAUUCGUCGUGUAGCGGUGAAAUGCUUAGAUAUGACGAAGAACUCCGAUUGCGAAGGCAGCUUGCGGGAGCACAACUGACGCUGAAGCUCGAAGGUGCGGGUAUCAAACAGGAUUAGAUACCCUGGUAGUCCGCACAGUAAACGAUGGAUGCCCGUUGUUAGUUCACCUAAGAAUUAGCGACCAAGCGAAAGCAUUAAGCAUCCCACCUGGGGAGUACGCCGGCAACGGUGAAACUCAAAGGAAUUGACGGGGGCCCGCACAAGCGGAGGAACAUGUGGUUUAAUUCGAUGAUACGCGAGGAACCUUACCCGGGCUUGAA